rnacentral:misc_RNA from 1 species
AAAAGUGGUGGUGUCAAUCACCCCCCUAGGCUACUGAUGCUUGGGCUUGCUCUUGCUAACUAGCCUAGGCCACUUCACCCUUGAUAAAAUACCAUUGUUGCUUUGGCAGGUCGUGGCCUCGGCCCGCAGCGCCUGCCAGAGGACCCAAACUCGUUGUUACUGUCGUCUGAGUAUCAUACCAAUAGUCA